UUAUUUCAUCUUUUUUAUUCUCAAAAUAUGAAUAGUAUUCGAGUCCAAGAGGUAUUGGACUUGUGCGAGGCAGACGGAGUCUUCAGGAAUGUGAAAUCAUCUUAUCUCAGAAAGAUAGCAGUAGGUACCUGUGCCAAGUUCAACAGCCCAAAUCACACCUAGGGCAUAUACAUGGCUGUGUGAUACGGCUUGGGCCCCAGCUCUUGAGGAAGAACAGGGGUGGAAACUGUUGAGACAACUGAGCAAGAGAAGCUAGCACAGAAGGGUCUGGUGGGAGAAAUGGUGGAUCUUCCUCUCCUCUCUCUUACUACUUAAGGGCAGAGGCACAUGACCCCAGCAAGGGGCCAAAGCAGGUAGUAGCUACUUGGAUCCUAUUAGGGAGAGGCCAGACCACUCCAGGGCUGGUUAAUUGCCUUUGCCAGGCAGUGGAAUACUAGCCAUAAGAAUAGAGACGAACUGUUCCAAUUUCUGUGCAGCUUUUUUCCCGGACUCUAAUACUUCCUCAUGAUUGGCCUUCUCCUUGGUUUCAUAAUCCUGGAUGACUUUGUUAGUGAUUAGGGAGAAGCCAAAGACUCGAAGUCCACAGUGCCUUGCAACUAUAACUUCUGGUACUGUGCUCAUGCCUGAUGAGGAGAGAGAGGGAAAACAACUGUCAGGACCCUCAAAUGACUCUUUUCUUUACCCUCUGCCCUCAUCCCCAUUCAUUACCUCAUUGACAAUUCCACAUCUCAAAAAAACAUCCAAAGAAACAGGUGAUUUCUUGUCUAGCUUAGGUUAUUCUGUAUUGCUUAAAAGAGUGGGGCUUCAGAGGACCUUACACUUUUCUUAUAAGUAUUACCACUGCAAUGCUUUAUUUCUGUUUGUGGUCAUUUUGAAGUCAGUUCUAAUGAUGCGGUUCCAUCUUCCAGCCAGAGGUACAGAAAGCAGCUAUAUUUUUAGAACAAUCUUCAGAAACAUCAAAUCAUGGAUGGGUCAUUAGCAUUAUAGCUGUUAAAGCCCUAGGUGCUGGGUAGGGAGGUUUAAUGCUAUAACACACCAAACCCCAACACCUUUAAAGUCAGUUUAACUCAAUCUUCCCUUAAGUCAGAUCUCUCACUUUACGGUCUAGGUCUACAAUCUUACACCUUUCCAUCCCUAUUUUACCAGAUCCCUCCCUGUUCAAGCCUCCAGUCGGUUCCCCUUCUCACCAACAGCAUCUGCCCCCAGCUUCUGCAGCAGCCGACACUCGGCCACAGUCUCAAAGGAGGGGCCUGCCAACAUCACAUAGGUGCCUUCCUGAAGCUCUCUCUGCUCCCCCAUUUGUUUCCAGACACUGUGAGCCUUCUGUCUCAUAUCCCGGUCAUAGGCAUCAGACAUGGCAGGGAAACGAACUCCGAACCUAGGGCACAGGUUGGAAUCUCAGAUUACUGGAACAUAAUGAGUUCUGACCCCCAGACAAGUCCUUAAACUGUACCCAGCUAUUGAAAAAAUUUGCAAGAUACAUACCUAUCCUCAUUGGGCCCUCUGAGAGGGUUCAAACCACAGAAACCAGGUAGGUUGAUGUGGUCGCGGAUCAGCAUGAUAUCUCCAACCUCAAAUUUGGGGUUGAGUCCUCCAGCUGCAUUGGUGACCACUAGGGUGUCCACACCCAGAAGGUAGAAAACCC
rnacentral:lncRNA from 1 species